CCUACGGGUGGCUGCAGUGGGGAAUAUUGCACAAUGGGGGAAACCCUGAUGCAGCGACGCCGCGUGAAGGAAGAAGUAUUUCGGUAUGUAAACUUCUAUCAGCAGGGAAGAAAAUGACGGUACCUGACUAAGAAGCCCCGGCUAACUACGUGCCAGCAGCCGCGGUAAAACGUAGGGGGCAAGCGUUAUCCGGAUUUACUGGGUGUAAAGGGAGCGUAGGCGGUUCAGCAAGUCAGAAGUGAAAGCCCGGGGCUCAACUCCGGGAUUGCUUUUGAAACUGUUGAACUAGAGUGCAGGAGAGGUAAGUGGAAUUCGUGGUGUAGCGGUGAAAUGCGUAGAUAUUAGGAGGAACCCCAGUGGCGAAGGGGGCUUACGGAACUGAAAAUGACAUUGAGGCUCGAAAGCGUGGGAGCAAACAGGAUUAGAUACCCCUGGUAGUC
rnacentral:rRNA from 1 species